rnacentral:rRNA from 1 species
AACGAACGCUGGCGGCAGGCCUAACACAUGCAAGUCGAACGAACCGUUUACGGUGAGGGGCGCACGGGUGAGUAACACGUGGGAAUAUACAUUUCGGUAAGGAAUAACGUAGAGACAGUUACGCUAAUACCUUAUAAUGACUACGGUCCAAAGAUUUAUUGCCGAAGGAUUAGCCCGCGUUAGAUUAGGUAGUUGGUAGGGUAAUGGCCUAACAAGACUACGAUCUAUAGCUGGUCUUAGAGGAUGAUCAGCCACACUGGAACUGGGACACGGUCCAGACUCCUACGGGAGGCAGCAGUGAGGAAUAUUGCGCAAUGGGGGAAACCCUGACGCAGCCAUGCCGCGUGAGUGACGAAGGCCUUAGGGUUGUAAAGCUCUUUCAGAUGUAAAGAUAAUGACGGUAACAUCAGAAGAAGCUCCGGCUAAAUUCGUGCCAGCAGCCGCGGUAA